AUUGAACGCUGGCGGCAUGCCUUACACAUGCAAGUCGAACGGUAACGGGCCUUCGGGUGCCGACGAGUGGCGCGCGGGUGAGUAAUACAUCGGAACGUGCCCGAUCGUGGGGGAUAACGAGGCGAAAGCUUUGCUAAUACCGCAUACGAUCUACGGAUGAAAGCAGGGGACCGCAAGGCCUUGCGCGGACGGAGCGGCCGAUGGCAGAUUAGGUAGUUGGUGGGAUAAAAGCUUACCAAGCCGACGAUCUGUAGCUGGUCUGAGAGGAUGAUCAGCCACACUGGGACUGAGACACGGCCCAGACUCCUACGGGAGGCAGCAGUGGGGAAUUUUGGACAAUGGGCGCAAGCCUGAUCCAGCCAUGCCGCGUGCAGGAUGAAGGCCUUCGGGUUGUAAACUGCUUUUGUACGGAACGAAAAGCCUUCUUUUAAUACAGGAGGGUCAUGACGGUACCGUAAGAAUAAGCACCGGCUAACUACGUG
rnacentral:rRNA from 1 species